CCUACGGGUGGCAGCAGUGAGGAAUAUUGGUCAAUGGACGAGAGUCUGAACCAGCCAAGUAGCGUGAAGGAUGACUGCCCUAUGGGUUGUAAACUUCUUUUAUAUGGGAAUAAAAUGUUCCACGUGUGGGAUUUUGUAUGUACCAUAUGAAUAAGGAUCGGCUCACUCCGUGCCAGCAGCCGCGGUAAUACGGAGGAUCCGAGCGUUAUCCGGAUUUAUUGGGUUUAAGGGGAGCGUAGGUGGAUUGUUAAGUCAGUUGUGAAAGUUUGCGGCUCAACCGUAAAAUUGCAGUUGAAACUGGCAGUCUUGAGUACAGUAGAGGUGGGCGGAAUUCGUGGUGUAGCGGUGAAAUGCGUAGAUAUCACGAAGAACUCCGAUUGCGAAGGCAGUUCACUGGACUGCAACUGACACUGAGGCUCGAAAGUGUGGGUAUCAAACAGGAUUAGAUACCCCAGUAGUC
rnacentral:rRNA from 1 species